CUAGGUUAAGGUAGAGCAUCGGAGCUUCUUUUUGCUUUGGUUUUUAGCCCCUGAAACCACUUUGUGUCAAUUUCAUUCUGGUUUCGUGUCCUGCAUCAUCUAAACUGCCAGUGUGGACAACCCACAGGACCCACCAUUGUACAGAGUAAGUUCACAGGACUGAUGUAUCCCACUCCCAUGAGUGAUCCCCAAUGUGGCAUCCUGAAGUAUGAUGCCUGCCACCAUUCCCCUUCACACAGGAGACUGCGCAUGGAAGUGGGGUGGGAAUAUCCAUCUGCUGUAUCCCAACUGACUGGAGAAGAGAAACCUGUUGCUCACAGUGGCUGCUGCCUGGUCUAAAUCUCAUCUGGUUUCAAAGAAGUCAGUGCCUGGAUCCCACCCAGAACUGGCUGUCCUACUUCCAUUUAUGAAACUGCAAAGAUUUGACCUAAUUGAAUUCCAUUCUUUCUGUUGCCUUUGGGGGAAUGUUUCCACUGUACAUCUCAGAUGCUUCAGAGUCAAAAUGAAGAGCAGCCAAAGAAGCAGCAGUUGCUUUAACCAUGUGAAAAGUGUGUGUGGAUCUGAAAAAUAAAGCACACAAAACAUGACUCAA